GACGAACGCUGGCGGCGUGCUUAACACAUGCAAGUCGAACGGAAAGGCCCUGCUCUUGUGGGAUGCUCGAGUGGCGAACGGGUGUGUAACACGUGAGUAACCUGCCCUUGACUUUGGGAUAACUUCAGGAAACUGGGGAUAAUACCGGAUAGGAGCUCCUGCUGCAUGGGGGGGGUUGGAAAUUUUCGGCGGUUGGGGAUGGACUCGCGGCUUAUCAGCUUGUUGGUGGGGUAGUGGCUUACCAAGGCUUUGACGGGUAGCCGGCCUGAGAGGGUGACCGGCCACAUUGGGACUGAGAUACGGCCCGGACUCCUACGGGAGGCAGCAGUGGGGAAUAUUGCACAAUGGGCGGAAGCCUGAUGCAGCAACGCCGCGUGCGGGAUGACGGCCUUCGGGUUGUAAACCGCUUUCGCCUGUGACGAAGCGUGAGUGACGGUAAUGGGUAAAGAAGCACCGGCUAACUACGUG
rnacentral:rRNA from 1 species